GGAAACUUUAAAGAAUAAACUGUACUAUUUGGCUGAACCAAAAAUUCUGAAAAUUUUAUGAUAUGAAGAUAUGUGAGUCUAGUUUCAGGAAAAAUUAACGGAUCUUAAUUUGGAGCUCUGUAGAUCCGGAUAAAAAUAAUUUAGUGACUCUGACUCGGAUAAACAGUUUUGAAUAUACAUGUGAGUGAAUAGUGAAAUUAUA
rnacentral:lncRNA from 1 species